rnacentral:lncRNA from 1 species
ACACUAUUCUAUUUCACUUCUAACUUCCUAGAAAUCCCUGGAUUAGAAAAUAUGCACUGUUGGAUUGGUUUUCCUUUCUUUGCUGUGUUGCUGACAGCUGUACUUGGGAAUAUAACCAUUGUUUGUGUAAUUCAGACAGAGUACAGUCUUCCUCAGCCCAUGUUCUACUUCCUGGCCAUUCUGUCAUCUACUGACCUGUCAUCACAUCUACAAUCACCACAAUUCCUGGAAUAGUCUUGUUCAAGAUAAAAGGACAUCAUCCAAAUGUUCUGUAUCUACGUGUUUUCUGGCAUGGAGUCAGCUGUGCUUGUAGCCAUGGCCUAUGAUCACUUCAUGGCUAACUGUUGCCCUCUUCAUUAUACAUUGGUACUGACAAACAAGGUAAUAUUUAUCAUUUCUUGGGUGAUCCUUUUGAGAUCAUUGUUUUUUUUGCCAUGCCCUUUGUCUUGCUCACCUUAUGGUUACCAUUUUAUAAGCACCAAAUCACCCUUCACCUUCAUCAAUGUCAUCAGCAUCUAUGGCUUAUGUGCUACCCCUAUUCUGAUAUGUGACAUUGUAGCCAUUAUCAUUUCCUAUGUUCAGAUCUUCAGUGCUGCAUUUCAACUAUCUUCUCAGGAUGCUCAGCUAAGGCACUUGGCACCUGUGGAUCUCAUGCAUUUGUCAUUUGACAUUCUACACUCUUGUUUUCUUUUCAUUUAUGACACAUAGGUUUGGCCAUAAUAUACCACACUGCAUCCAUAUUCUUGUGGCCAGUGUCUAUGUAGUCAUUCUACCUGUUCUCAACCCUUUAAUUUAUAGCAUCAGAACUAAAUGGAUUAUAGAACAGGUACUGAAAAUGUUUUGUAAGAAAUAA